rfam:Ovis aries breed Texel chromosome 14, whole genome shotgun sequence.
UCCCUGGUGGCUCAGUGGGUAAAGAAUCUGCCUGCCAUGCAGGAGACCUGGGUUCAAUCCCUCGAUUGGGAA